rnacentral:rRNA from 1 species
UGGGGAAUAUUGGACAAUGGGCGAAAGCCUGAUCCAGCCAUGCCGCGUGAGUGAUGAAGGCCCUAGGGUUGUAAAGCUCUUUUGUGCGGGAAGAUAAUGACGGUACCGCAAGAAUAAGCCCCGGCUAACUUCGUGCCAGCAGCCGCGGUAAUACGAAGGGGGCUAGCGUUGCUCGGAAUCACUGGGCGUAAAGGGUGCGUAGGCGGGUUUCUAAGUCAGAGGUGAAAGCCUGGAGCUCAACUCCAGAACUGCCUUUGAUACUGGAAGUCUUGAGUUCGGGAGAGGUGAGUGGAACUGCGAGUGUAGAGGUGAAAUUCGUAGAUAUUCGCAAGAACACCAGUGGCGAAGGCGGCUCACUGGCCCGAUACUGACGCUGAGGCACGAAAGCGUGGGGAGCAAAACAGGAUUAGAUACCCUGGUAGUCCACGCCGUAAACGAUGAAUGCCAGCCGUUAGUGGGUUUUACUCACUAGUGGCGCAGCUAACGCUUUUAAGCAUUCCGCCUGGGGAGUACGGUCGCAAGAUUAAAACUUAAAUGAAUUGACGGGGUCAUAGCUGUUUCCUG